AAACUGCGAAAAGUAGUGUGACUUGCAACUUCCGUGAAUCAUCGAAUCUUCGAACGCAAACUGUGCCCUGAGGAACCUUCGGGAACUCUUGGCAUCUGUGUGUGAGUGUCAGUUUCAAUCCUUCUGGACAAGUCUACUUGUACACGUCCUCUAGACAAUUGGAAUGGGUCCAAUGUCUCGUGGAGAUUCUGUAACUAUCACAGUUUACAUCAGAAGUUUCUGACCUCACUAACAGAAGAUUACCCACUGAAUUUAA
rnacentral:misc_RNA from 1 species